UACGUAGGGCGCAAGCGUUAUCCGGAAUUAUUGGGCGUAAAGAGCUCGUAGGCGGUUUGUCGCGUCUGCCGUGAAAGUCCGGGGCUCAACUCCGGAUCUGCGGUGGGUACGGGCAGACUAGAGUGAUGUAGGGGAGACUGGAAUUCCUGGUGUAGCGGUGAAAUGCGCAGAUAUCAGGAGGAACACCGAUGGCGAAGGCAGGUCUCUGGGCCUUGACCUGACGCUGAGGAGCGAAAGCGUGGGGAGCGAACAGG
rnacentral:rRNA from 1 species